UUCGGCAGGACUGUGAUGCUGAUUGGAUUAUGAGGAGGUUUGGUUGAAUGGGAAAUAUCUGCUUCACUGACAGAUGAGCCUCUGAUUGUUUGAGGGUGAACUAUCCAGUUUAUUCAGUUGAAUUUCUGCCUAGACCUCAUAAGUCAGACCUCUUAUUGCUUACAGUUUUACUAUAAACUGAACCUUGAAGUCAAGUUUUCAGCAGUACGAGUUGGAUCAGUCUCAGGUAACAAGACAUCAGAGUUUAAUUCGACUACAAUCAUGGAAGAACUAUGUAAAGCCAUCAUUACAGCAGCUGCAGUAGGAGGUACCGUGGUUCUGACUCCUGCUGUUCUGACGGGAAUAGGCUUUGGUGCAACUGGAAUAGUAGCAGGCUCCAUAGCUGCUCAGCUGAUGUCAAAUUUUGGAUCUACCUGGUUGAUGAGUCUCUUGCAAUCCA